UACAGAGGGGGCAAGCGUUGUUCGGAAUUACUGGGCGUAAAGGGCGCGUAGACGGCCUUCUAAGUCGAACGUGAAAUCCCCGGGCUCAACCCGGGAACUGCGUCCGAUACUGGAAGGCUUGAAUCCGGGAGAGGGAUGUGGAAUUCCAGGUGUAGCGGUGAAAUGCGUAGAUAUCUGGAGGAACACCGGUGGCGAAGGCGACAUCCUGGACCGGUAUUGACGCUGAGGCGCGAAAGCCAGGGGAGCAACGGG
rnacentral:rRNA from 1 species